rnacentral:rRNA from 1 species
CUACGGGUCGCUCCAGUGGGGAAUAUUGGACAAUGGGGGAAACCCUGAUCCAGCAAUGCCGCGUGUGUGAAGAAGGCCUGCGGGUUGUAAAGCACUUUCGGUUGGGAGGACUGCUUCUAGCACUAAUAUUGUUGGAAGUUGACGUUACCUUCAGAAGAAGCACCGGCUAACUCCGUGCCAGCAGCCGCGGUAAUACGGAGGGUGCAAGCGUUAAUCGGAAUUACUGGGCGUAAAGCGCGCGUAGGCGGCUAGAUCAGUCGGGUGUGAAAGCCCCGGGCUUAACCUGGGAACUGCAUCCGAUACUGGCUAGCUUGAGUACAGGAGAGGAGAGUGGAAUUCCACAUGUAGCGGUGAUAUGCGUAGAUAUGUGGAGGAACACCAAUGGCGAAGGCAGCUCUCUGGCCUGAUACUGACGCUGGGGUGCGAAAGCGUGGGGAGCAAACAGGAUUAGAUACCCUUGUAGUC